rnacentral:ncRNA from 1 species
GAACUUUGAAGAGUGAAGUGGGGAAAUGUUCCAUGUGAACAUCACUUGGACAUGGGUUAGUCAAUCCUAAGAGAUGGGGAAUCCUUGUAUCAAGGGUGCACUCUGCAUGAACAUCGAAAGAGAAUUAGGUUAAUAUUCCCGAACCAAGACAUGGUGGUGGACAAAAAUGUUAGGAAAUCUGGAGAUGUCAUUAGGGGCCUGGGAAGAGAUAUCUUUUCUUUUUAACGACUUUCCCACCCUGAAAUCGGUUCAACCAGAGAUAGGGUCCAACAUAUGGAAGAUCACCACAUGUCUUGCGGUGUUUGGUGCCCCCUCGGUGGCCAUUGAAAAUAUGGAGAACCGAGUACCAUCCAUGCCUGAUCGUACUCAUAUCUGCCUCCUUGGAUUUUUC